AAAGUUAUUCCAUCUCAUCGGCGGGUUAGUGGAAUCGUCUCGUCCGGCCUAAACUUUAUUUGGUCAAUUCGGUGUCUGUUAUCAGGUGUUUUUAUUUCGAGAUAACGUAGAAAACAGCACUGCAAUGAAGCAGUCAUUAUUUAGCAUAUUUAGUUCAAAAAGUUGUAGAUUCUUCACUGAGAAAUGCCUUCCUCAACCGCUGACUGACCGAUGAGUAAGAUGUGGCAAAUAUUGGAUGUGUCGGUAAAGGCGAAUUUGCGAUUUCUUUAAGCCGUUUUUUCUUCUUACGUCCAAGUACUGAAAUGGGCACUCGAAAUGCGAGGAACAUGUCGAUGUAUUGUCAUAAAAAGGAUGCACGUGUGUGCCAUGCGGUGAGCUACCACAGCAUGCUCGAGCUAACGUCGCCUAGCGGGCCUGGUAGCUUAGCAAUGUUGAGGAAGGAAGCAACAUGGAUUCAAAGAUCCCAGUUCUCAAAGACAUGUCCCCUUUGAAUGGGCAGAUGCACGAGCCACGUUCUCCCAUUUCUCAGUGUGACAUGUCAUCUCUGCCUUCAUGUCCUGAAGUUGAAGAACUGUGCUGAAGGACCUGCAAUGAGACCCAGUUGGCUUGGCACCGGGCCCUUCCGUUCCAGUUCAUCACCAUCUGAUAAAGGUUUCCUUUUGAGGACCCUGUUGAUUUGGCAGCUAGACCUGAAUUUCUGGAAGUGUAAGGCUGAUCAUGCAUUCCUUUUUUUGGGUUUCUGAUGACUUGGCAUCCGGCCCUUCGUUCCCUGAAGUGAAAUGAUCAAAAGAAGUUUCUGGUGCAAUGUGAUGGUUGAUCAGAAGAGGCUGGUCGUAAUGGGACAUGUGGGAGGUUGACUUAUGUCGGUGUGACAACUGAUCAAGACUCAACAUGGAACAGCAUGCUGAGGUUUGAUCAGAAGAGGUGGUCAUAAUGGGACGUUUGGGAGGUUGACUUAUGUCGGUGUGACAUAACUGAUCAAGACUCUCAACAUGGAACAGCGUGCUGAGAAUCUGGCUUUGUCUAGUGAAUGGAUGGGAUGCUCAUCCUGUCCUUGGCUUUCCUCCUGGGACAAACCUCAACAUCGCCUCCAAGAAACAUGGCUUGUUUGAGCUCUAAUGGAGCAUGUUUUAAACUGUUGUGUUGACAAUCCAUCAUGUCUUGUCUUGAAACAUGAAGUUGCAAAUCACUUGAAACAAUAAAUUAAACCAAAAAAUCA